AGCCUUAUUCUAGAUUAGAAUGGGCACUGUUGGUAUCCAAAACUGGUCAGUGUGGCUAAAAUUGGGACACAGGUCAGGCUUCCGUUACAAUAAGUGUAUUACAGUGGUGACAGUGACCCCUGUAACAUUU
ensembl:snoRNA